UCUCGACACCCUCAUUCGACAACCCGACACCCCGCAUCUCCACACAUUCUGCUCGACAACACCAUGUUCGCCGGAGAAGACUAGUCGUCACCGGAGUUCACCGGAGAAACCCCGAAGCCCUCGGAGUAAACCGUUUCGCCGGAAUUGUUACGUCGGACCUCCGUUCUUCUUCGUUUCGGUAUACAUUUCUUGUUCCAUUUUGUUAUGUUCGUUCAAAUCUCCUGUUGAUAUAAUACCCUUAUUCCAUUCGUUUUGUUUAGAACAUCUCGUUUUAGUGUAUAUAUAUAUAACAGUACGUAUAACUUUUAAAAUGAGGAUGAUGAUGAUAUUUUUCUUUAAACUAUGUUUCACUUUACAAGAGUAUAAAUGAAUUUAAAAUACAAUAUAUUUCAAAACGGUGAUGUAAACCAAAUUCUUUUGUUGACUUUUUUACUUCUUUCUUUGUAUGUUAUUUUUAAUGUUAUACUUUAAUAUUUUUUUUUUCGUUUUAAUUAAAACCAUGAACUCUAAAAUCUUUUUUUUUUUUUUUUAAACCCUUAAAAUGUUAACUCGUUUUUUUUGACGUCUCUUUUAUGCAAAAAUAUUAGUUAAUUAUUCUAACUAAUUAGAGAUGUAGUUUACUUAAACUUUAAAUAUGAGGGAGUUUAUUUAACGAGAUCUCUUUUUAUAAUACCAAAAAUCCUUGGUUAAAAUUCUAACAUCUAAUUAAUAAUUUAUAAAUGGUGAACAUUAGGAAUAUCAUUUAACUUACAAUAACGAAUUCGUUGUGGUAUUUUAAUAUUUAGGUUAAUCUCUCUUGUACGUUCUCUUGGAUUAUUCUCCAUCUUUACUCGUGCGUUAAUACAAGAAGCGCAACGCAAUCAAUGUGAGUAUACAUGACCCAUUUUCUAUUUUCCACUUUUGGGUGCAAUAUGUAUUCUAUAUCAAACAUCACAAUCACAUCAAACAUUUUACGCACACUCUAUCCUUACCCUAUGUGAUACAUUUUAAUCAUGUUAGACAUGUUAUGCUAAUGUAAACAUUCAUGACUAUGUGUUCAUUAACUUCGUACAAGCCUCCUCUAACAAUGGUAGCGCUAUAGGUUGAGAAACGCCCCUCCCGUUAUAUUAACGGGUAUUGUUAGGUUAAUCUAUGUUAAAACCACCCAUACUCUUUUGGGUAGGCACGUUAAUUGCGUUAAACUUUGGUUUGGACACAUAGAGUAACAUCGUUUCGAGUAUAUACUGUCAAUAUCAUAUUGUAUAUCACAUUUGGAUAUGAGCAACAUUUUAAACACAUAUUAUGCUAUGUAUGAAAACUUGUAUACUCGCCAACAUGCUUUUGUUGAUUGUAUUUUAAUACAUAUUGCAGGUUGAUGUUCAAGAAAUAAAGAAAUCAGGCUAGGAUGGAACUAGAAACCCAUUUUAGCAUAGCAUUUUAUUAUGUUUGAAUUUAUGAUGUACUUGAAAACAAUGUAUUCUCAUUUGAAAUUUAUGAAAUGAAUUUAAUUCAUAUU
rnacentral:lncRNA from 1 species